CACGGGUGGCCGGGCUUAGGCGAAGUUGACGGCAGGUGGGGACCUGAAAGGGGCGAUGUGUGGCCCCACCUGCCUGUUACUCGGUAGGCGGUGCUCAUGCCUAGAAAGAAAGGCUAGACAGCCUCUGUUUCUGUAAGAUCAUUGACUCUGUGACUGAAUUUCAAACUUACUUGAAAGCAGCCCUACCCCUGGACUCUUUUUUUUAAUCUAGAGAUCCCCAGGAUGUGAUGGGUACUUCAGAAAGGUCAUCCCUCCUUUGAUUGCUAUAGAAAGCCUAUUAUAAAGAUGAGUAAUGGUUAAUUUGAAGAAAGAAAGGAAAAAUUCAUACACAUGCACACACGUUCACAUAUACACAGAAUAAACUUAUAGUAUAUACCAGCAACUGGUCACUAUUACUU